rnacentral:tRNA from 1 species
GUUUUAAUAGUUUAAAUAAUAAAAUAUUGAUUUUGUAAAUCAAAAAUAAGAGUCAUCUUUUAAAACU